CUGUAUACCAGCUUUGAUUAUUUGUAAUAUCUUCAAUUUUUCACUUAUUCUUACAACAUUUGUAUAAACUUCAAGAUUAUAAAAAACCGUUUUUUUUCUAAAGUGAACAUUGAUUGGUUAAAUAUUUCUCAGUGUGUUUGAAUUUGUUUGUUAGCCUUUUGGUCAUGAAUGUUUGUCUCUAAUAUUUAAUUAACUGUGCAUUUGUAUUCAGAUAUCGCAGAUCAAAUUUAUUCGUUCAUUGUGUAAUCAUACGUUUUUAGCUCACCUGGCCCGAAGGGCCAAGUGAGCUUUUCUCAUCACUUGGCGUCCGGCGUCCGGCGUCCGUCGUCCGUCGUCCGUCGUCGUCGUCGUCCGUCGUUAACUUUUACAAAAAUCUUCUCCUCUGAAACUACUGGACCAAAUUAAACCAAACUUGGCCACAAUCAUCAUUGGGGUAUCUAGUUUAAAAAAUUGUGUCCGGUGACCCGCCCAACCAACCAAGAUGGCCGCCAUGGCUAAAAAUAGAACAUAGGGGUAAAAUGCAGUUUUUGGCUUAUAACUCAAAAACCAAAGCAUUUAGAGCAAAUCUGACAUGGGGUAAAAUUGUUUAUCAGGUUAAGAUGUAUCUGCCCUGAAAUUUUCAGAUGAAUCGGACAACCCGUUGAUAGGUUGCUGCCCCUGAAUUGGUAAUUUUGAGAAAAUUUUGCUGUUUUUGGUUAUUAUCCUGAAUAUUAUUAUAGAUAGAGAUAAACUGUGAACAGCAAAAAUGUUCAACAAAGUAAGAUCUACAAAUAAGUCAACAUGACCAAAAUGGUCUGUUGACCCCUUUAGAAGUUAUUGCCCUUUAUAGUCAAUUUUUAACCAUUUUUCGUAAAUCUUAAUUAUCUUUUACAAAAAUCUUCUCCUCUGAAACUACUGGACCAAAUAAAACCAAACUUGGCCACAAUCAUCAUUGGGGUAUCUAGUUUAAAAAUUGUGUCCGGUGACCCGCCCGCCCAACCAAGAUGGCCGCCAUGGCUAAAAAUAGAACAUAGGGGUAAAAUGCAGUUUUUGGCUUAUCACUCAAAAACGGAAGCAUUUAGAGCAAAUCUGACAUGUAGUAAAAUUGUUUAUCAGGUCAAGAUCUAUCUGCCCUGAAAUUUUGAGAUGAAUCGGACAAUUCGUUGAUAGGUUGCUGCCCCUGAAUUGGUAAUUUUAAGGAAAUUUUGCUGUUUUUGGUUAUUAUCUUGAAUAUUAUUAUAGAUAGAGAUAAACUGUAAACAGCAAAAAUGUUCAGCUAAAUAAGAUCUACAAAUAAGU
rnacentral:lncRNA from 1 species